rnacentral:rRNA from 1 species
GGGAGCUUGCUCCCUGAUCUUAGCGGCGGACGGGUGAGUAACACGUGGGCAACCUGCCCUGCAGACUGGGAUAACUCCGGGAAACCGGAGCUAAUACCGGGUAAUACAUCGCACCGCAUGGUGCAAUGUUGAAAGUUGGCUUUCGAGCUAACACUGCAGGAUGGGCCCGCGGCGCAUUAGCUAGUUGGUAAGGUAAUGGCUUACCAAGGCGACGAUGCGUAGCCGACCUGAGAGGGUGAUCGGCCACACUGGGACUGAGACACGGCCCAGACUCCUACGGGAGGCAGCAGUAGGGAAUCUUCCGCAAUGGACGAAAGUCUGACGGAGCAACGCCGCGUGAGUGACGAAGGCCUUCGGGUCGUAAAGCUCUGUUGUUAGGGAAGAACAAGUACCGUUCGAAUAGGGCGGUACCUUGACGGUACCUAACCAGAAAGCCACGGCUAACUACGUGCCAGCAGCCGCGGUAAUACGUAGGUGGCAAGCGUUGUCCGGAAUUAUUGGGCGUAAAGCGCGCGCAGGCGGUCUUUUAAGUCUGAUGUGAAAGCCCACGGCUCAACCGUGGAGGGUCAUUGGAAACUGGAGGACUUGAGUGCAGAAGAGGAGAGUGGAAUUCCACGUGUAGCGGUGAAAUGCGUAGAUAUGUGGAGGAACACCAGUGGCGAAGGCGGCUCUCUGGUCUGUAACUGACGCUGAGGCGCGAAAGCGUGGGGAGCAAACAGGAUUAGAUACCCUGGUAGUCCACGCCGUAAACGAUGAGUGCUAGGUGUUGGGGGGUUCCACCCUCAGUGCUGAAGUUAACACAUUAAGCACUCCGCCUGGGGAGUACGACCGCAAGGUUGAAACUCAAAGGAAUUGACGGGGGCCCGCACAAGCAGUGGAGCAUGUGGUUUAAUUCGAAGCAACGCGAAGAACCUUACCAGGUCUUGACAUCCUCUGACAAUCCUGGAGACAGGACGUUCCCCUUCGGGGGACAGAGUGACAGGUGGUGCAUGGUUGUCGUCAGCUCGUGUCGUGAGAUGUUGGGUUAAGUCCCGCAACGAGCGCAACCCUUGAUCUUAGUUGCCAGCAUUCAGUUGGGCACUCUAAGGUGACUGCCGGUGACAA